CACAACUUUCUGAGUCUGUAUCGAGAGUUUCACAAUAAAAGCAUCAGAACAGACUGGAAUUAAGUGGCCUCACAGCAGAAAUAGAAAGUCGCUCUCAGUUCGGCUUCAGGUCAAAUAAGACCUCGUGCUCCCCGUCACACACAGUGGUACAUCUUUGGGUGUUUAUGGUGACUUGCUGCAUGACCCCCGUGUGACUCCGGACUCUGGCUGACAGGAAGCUGAACUCAGACCAGCUGCUGGAUACAAACAUUGUGUCUUCUCCUCGCAGCUCCCGGGCUGACCGGCAUCGUGGGCGGACGGCCCCGAGUGUCUCCGGUGCUGAAGCCCUUCUUCUUCUUACACCCCAAAGCUGAGCUGAAGGUGGACGUCCACGUCGGGGGGGAGCUGGUGGAGACUCUCAAGGAGGCGGGGCCUGACCCGCUUGAGCAGGAAGCCCCUCCCACCUCAGCACAGGAAGAACCCGACGCAGGUGAACCGGCUCACCGGAGGUUCCAGGGGCCUUGACGAGACCCAUAUGGUCUGUAAUCAAGCGGUCCUUGAGGGUGUUUUGGGGGUCCUUUCGCCUUCCUCAAGGGCUCCCAAAGGGUCCUUGAGGGCUCCUGGGUGCUGGAAAAGGUCAUGGGGCUCCAUUAGUCCAGAGGUCCUUGAAGAGGCUUCAUUUGCUCCUAAGAAGGAGCCUAAAACCUCACUGAGUGGUCUCAAGUGGUGCUUGAGGGGUUUGGGGGGUUCUGAAAAGGGGCUUGGUUAGUCCUUGAGGAAGUUCCAGGGUCCUUGAGGUUCUUGAUUCAUCAGUUAUUGAUUACGGACGACAGAGUGCUGUGGAGGGAUUUGUUGCGUUACUGAUCACACGUCAUUUAUCUGACGCUUUUAUCCAAAGCGACUUAAAUAAGAACAUUUAACCAUAAGGACACAAACUCAGAAGAACAAGAAACAAGAAAGUGUGAUUUCCUCAAAUAAUGUACAACUUGCUGUAGAUAAGAACCAUUAUAAGUCCAAUGUAAGUGGUGCAGUUAGUUAGUGUGUUAGUGGAGGUAGAGUCUGAAGAGGUGUGUCUUUAGUCUGAAGAUGUGAAGGCUCUCUGUGGUCCUGAUGUCUUCAGAGUGAUGACACACUGCUGUCUGCCUCCAGAGGGCGCCG
ensembl:lncRNA